UGAGGCAUAAUUGUUAGAGAGGCUUGACGAGUCACCGUGGUAUGCAAUCCAGGUUGAUGAAUCUACCAAUGUCGACAACAAGGCAAUACUGCUUGUUUUUGUGCGAUAUAUAUUUCAGGAUGAUGUGCAUGAGGAUAUGUUGUGUGCGCUGUCCCCUUCGACUAACACAACGGCCGCAGAACUAUUCAAGUCUUUGGAUGUCAGGAACAUUGGAUUAGUCAUUCUGUGUUGGCGUAUACACGGAUGGGGCUGCUGCCAUGACUGGACGGCUGUCUGGUUCCACUACCCGGGUUAAAGAGGUUGGUCAUUCUGUGUUGGCGUAUACACGGAUGGGGCUGCUGCCAUGACUGGACGGCUGUCUGGUUCCACUACCCGGGUUAAAGAGGUUGGUCAUUCUGUGUUGGCGUAUACACGGAUGGGGCUGCUGCCAUGACUGGACGGCUGUCUGGUUCCACUACCCGGGUUAAAGAGGUUGGUCAUUCUGUGUUGGCGUAUACACGGAUGGGGCUGCUGCCAUGACUGGACGGCUGUCUGGUUCCACUACCCGGGUUAAAGAGGUUGGUCAUUCUGUGUUGGCGUAUACACGGAUGGGGCUGCUGCCAUGACUGGACGGCUGUCUGGUUCCACUACCCGGGUUAAAGAGGUUGGUCAUUCUGUGUUGGCGUAUACACGGAUGGGGCUGCUGCCAUGACUGGACGGCUGUCUGGUUCCACUACCCGGGUUAAAGAGGUUGGUCAUUCUGUGUUGGCGUAUACACGGAUGGGGCUGCUGCCAUGACUGGACGGCUGUCUGGUUCCACUACCCGGGUUAAAGAGGUUGGUCAUUCUGUGUUGGCGUAUACACGGAUGGGGCUGCUGCCAUGACUGGACGGCUGUCUGGUUCCACUACCCGGGUUAAAGAGGUUGGUCAUUCUGUGUUGGCGUAUACACGGAUGGGGCUGCUGCCAUGACUGGACGGCUGUCUGGUUCCACUACCCGGGUUAAAGAGGUUGGUCAUUCUGUGUUGGCGUAUACACGGAUGGGGCUGCUGCCAUGACUGGACGGCUGUCUGGUUCCACUACCCGGGUUAAAGAGGUUGGUCAUUCUGUGUUGGCGUAUACACGGAUGGGGCUGCUGCCAUGACUGGACGGCUGUCUGGUUCCACUACCCGGGUUAAAGAGGUUGGUCAUUCUGUGUUGGCGUAUACACGGAUGGGG